AGUGAACGCUGGCGGUAGGCCUAACACAUGCAAGUCGAACGGCAGCACAGUAAGAGCUGGCUCUUACGGGUGGCGAGUGGCGUACGGGUGAGGAAUACAUCGGAAUCUACUUUUUCGUGGGGGAUAACGUAGGUAAACUUACGCUAAUACCGCAUACGACCUACGGGUGAAAGCAGGGGAUCUUUGGACCUUGCGCGACUGAAUGAGCCGAUGUCGGAUUAGCUAGUUGGCGGGGUAAAGGCCUACGAAGGCGACGAUCCGUAGCUGGUCUGAGAGGGUGGUUCGCCACACUGGCACAGAGACACGGCGCAGACACCUACGGGAGGCAGCAGUGGGGACUAUUGCACAAUGGGCGAAAGCCUGAUCCAGCCAUACCGCGUGAGUCCAGAAGGCCUUCCGGUUGUAAAACCAUUUUGUUGGGAAAGAAAAGCAGCAGGUUAAUACCCCGCUGUUCUGACGGUACCCAAAGAAUAAGCACCGGCUAACUUCGUG
rnacentral:rRNA from 1 species